GUGCUUGCUUUGGCAGCACAUAUACUAAAAUUUGAACGAUACAGAGAAGAUUAGCAUGGCUUCUGUGCAAGGAUGACAUGCAAAUUCACGAAGCAUUCCAUAUUUAA